rnacentral:rRNA from 1 species
AUUGAACGCUGGCGGUAGGCUUUACACAUGCAAGUCGAACGGCAGCACGGUGGCAACCCGGGUUGCGAGGGGCGAACGGGUGAGUAAUACAUCGGAACGUGCCCGGCCGUGGGGUAUAACGUAGUGAAAGUUACGCUAAUACCGCAUACGAGCUUAGGAUGAAAGCGGGGGACCUUCGGGCCUCCCGCGCUCGCACCGGCGGAUGUCAGAUUAUCUAGUUGGUGGGGUAAAGGCCUACCAAGCCGACGAUCCGUAGCUGGUCUGAGAGGACGACCAGCCACACUGGAACUGAGACACGGCCCAGACUCCUACGGGAGGCAGCAGUGGGGAAUUUUGGACAAUGGGCGCAAGCCUGAUCCAGCCAUACCGCGUGCAGGAAGAAGGCCUUCGGGUUGUAAACUGCUUUUGUAUGGAACGAAAAGGAUCUGGCUAAUACCUGGGGGUCAUGACGGUACCGUAAGAAUAAGCACCGGCUAACUACGUG